CUGCUGCCUCCCGUAGGAGUCUGGUCCGUGUCUCAGUACCAGUGUGGGGGACCUUCCUCUCAGAACCCCUACGCAUCGUCGCCUUGGUGGGCCGUUACCCCGCCAACAAGCUAAUGCGCCGCAUGCCCAUCCUCCGCCGGAAUCACUUCCUUUUAACACCAGUGGGAUGCCCCACUGGUGUACCACGCGGUAUUAGUCCGGAUUUCUCCGGGUUAUCACCCUGCGGAGGGCAGGUUGCAUACGUGUUACUCACCCGUGCGCCGGUCG
rnacentral:rRNA from 1 species